CAGCAGCCGCGGGAACACGAAGGGGGCUAGCGUUGCUCGGAAUGACUGGGCGUAAAGGGCGCGUAGGCGGCGUUCAAAGUCAGGCGUGAAAUUCCUGGGCUCAACCUGGGGGCUGCGCUUGAUACUUGGUUGCUUGAGUGGGGAAGAGGGUCGUGGAAUUCCCAGUGUAGAGGUGAAAUUCGUAGAUAUUGGGAAGAACACCGGUGGCGAAGGCAGCGACCUGGUCCUUGACUGACGCUGAGGCGCGAAAGCGUGGGGAGCAAACAGGAUUAGAUACCCCGGUAGUCCCUGUCUCUUAUAC
rnacentral:rRNA from 1 species